rnacentral:rRNA from 1 species
GACGAACGCUGGCGGCGUGCCUAAUACAUGCAAGUCGAGCGAAGUUUUUCUGGUGCUUGCACCGGAAAAACUUAGCGGCGAACGGGUGAGUAACACGUAAAGAACCUGCCUCAUAGACUGGGUCAACUAUUGGAAACGAUAGCUAAUACCGGAUAACAGCAUUAACUGCAUGGUUGAUGUUUAAAAGUUGGUUUUGCUAACACUAUGAGAUGGCUUUGCGGUGCAUUAGCUAGUUGGUGGGGUAAAGGCCUACCAAGGCGACGAUGCAUAGCCGACCUGAGAGGGUGAUCGGCCACACUGGGACUGAGACACGGCCCAGACUCCUACGGGAGGCAGCAGUAGGGAAUCUUCCGCAAUGGGCGAAAGCCUGACGGAGCAACGCCGCGUGAGUGAAGAAGGAUUUCGGUUCGUAAAGCUCUGUUGUUAGGGAAGAAUGAUUGUGUAGUAACUAUACACAGUAGAGACGGUACCUAACCAGAAAGCCACGGCUAACUACGUG